AUGUCCUGCGAGGAGAGAAGACGCGGGUGGCCGCGUUGCGGGGGUUACAGUUCUCCGAGAAAAUUUUGUCACCUGUUUUCAGCAAGGGCAGUCACCAUCGCUGCCAGAACAAAAAGACCAAUGGGUCUCCUGUCCAGAUUGAGGAGGACUCAUUCUGAGGAGGCUGAUUCUGAAACAUUCAGAUGGAGGAGGGAGCUGGUGAAAGCAGCUGAGAUGAUGCUGGCCUAGUGUCAUUAGAAUCCUUGCUUAGACAGAUCUUGUGGUAAGUGUUAAAAGACUGACUGAUUUCUCUCUUAAGACUCAGGUCUAGGCCAUAUUGGCUUAAGGCCCUUCAUACUUAUACCUUUCUCUCUCUCUCUCUCUUUCUUUGAUUAAUCAUUGUAUUAUUAAUUAAAAUUCUCUAUAAAACCCAGAUGGCUUGGGCAUAUUCAUAAAGCACCAUCCCAGGCUGCCAAUGUGCAUUUCUAUGCGCUGCUAGAAAUCUAUUCUUACACUUAGUGGAAGUUUGAUUUUUAUUGCAUUCCCAUUGUGAUCUCCUUAAAUCCUUGCAGCCUUGCAAAUGGACAGCAUUCAAACUUCCCUUGCUACAGGACUCCCCAGAUGUGUAGGACUUAAGGACUUUGGGG
rnacentral:lncRNA from 1 species